AUGUGCCUCUCUAAAGACCCCUCUCUCUCGCGACACCGCCUCCCUUACAAGGACGCCACGCCAUGGGUCUCCAUCGGUGCCACGACUGCCGCGGCCUCCCCACCUGCCGACGCUCUAGAUCCGACCGUAGUUGAUUCCCUGUACAUCAUCUCAAGGAGGAGGGGCGUGAGGCGGUUGCCGCCGCCGGUGGCUGCACUUGAAGGUCUCCGCCGCUUGCUCCAACCAGAUCCAGCCAGACCGUCCUGUGGUGGUCCACGUGCAUCUGGACGGACGCAACGGCUUUGCCUCCCCUGUCCCAUGUCUUCGUCCACCACACCAUCCCAUUGCGCGUCGGCGCUCACGGAGGAGAACCUGAUGUUCCUAGAGGCCUGGCGCGCGGUCGAUCACACUUACUACGACAAGUCCUCCAACGGGUGGAGCUGGUUCAGGUACCACAAGCACCCUCCAUGA
rnacentral:rRNA from 1 species